UACGUAGGGGGCAAGCGUUUGUCCGGAUUUAUUGGGCGUAAAGAGCGUGUAGGCGGUUUGGUAGGUCCGCUGUGAAAACUCGAGGCUCAACCUCGAGACGCCGGUGGAAACCAUCAGACUAGAGUCCGGAAGAGGAGAGUGGAAUUCCUGGUGUAGCGGUGAAAUGCGCAGAUAUCAGGAAGAACACCCGUGGCUAAGGCGGCUCCCUAGUACGGUACUGGACG
rnacentral:rRNA from 1 species